rnacentral:rRNA from 1 species
AUUGAACGCUGGCGGUAUGCUUAAAACAUGCAAGUCGAACGGUAACAGACCUUCGGGUGCUGACGGGUGGCGGACGGGUGAGUAACACGUGGGAAUCUACCUUGUAGUGGGGGAUAAGCCAGGGAAACUUGGACUAAUACCGCAUACGCCCUAAGGGGGAAAGGCGCAAGUCGCUAGAAGAUGAGCCCGCGUCUGAUUAGCUAGUUGGUGAGGUAAAGGCUCACCAAGGCGACGAUCAGUAGCUGGUCUGAGAGGAUGGCCAGCCACAUUGGGACUGAGACACGGCCCAGACUCCUACGGGAGGCAGCAGUCGGGAAUAUUGGACAAUGGGGGCAACCCUGAUCCAGCAAUACCGCGUGUGUGAAGAAGGCCUGCGGGUUGUAAAGCACUUUUAGUGGGGAAGAUAAUGACGUUACCCACAGAAAAAGCAACCGGCUAACUCCGUGCCAGCAGCCGCGGUAAU